rnacentral:rRNA from 1 species
UACGUAGGGUGCAAGCGUUGUCCGGAAUUAUUGGGCGUAAAGAGCGUGUAGGCGGCCCGAUUAGUCCGCUGUGAAAGUCCAGGGCUCAACCCUGGAAUGCCGGUGGAUACUGUCGGGCUAGAGUCCGGAAGGGGCGAGUGGAAUUCCUGGUGUAGCGGUGAAAUGCGCAGAUAUCAGGAGGAACACCAAUGGCGAAGGCAGCUCGCUGGGAAGUGACUGACGCUGAGACGCGAAAGCGUGGGGAGCAAACAGG